UACGUAGGUGGCAAGCGUUGUCCGGAUUUACUGGGCGUAAAGAGCGCGCAGGCGGUCGCUCAAGUCGCGUGUGAAAGCCCCCGGCUCAACUGGGGAGGGUCACGCGAUACUGGUCGGCUAGAGUCCGGGAGGGGAUGGUGGAAUUCCCAGUGUAGCGGUGAAAUGCGUAGAUAUUGGGAAGAACACCGGUGGCGAAGGCGGCCAUCUGGACCGGAACUGACGCUGAGGCGCGAAAGCGUGGGGAGCGAACAGG
rnacentral:rRNA from 1 species